ACCAGUGAGGCCGAGGCUGCAGAGACGCUAGGAUUGUGACACUAGGGGGCGCUCGCUGACUGCCGUUCUCACGCAGGGCUCGAGCUGGCGGGAGGCAAGCACCCAGGGAAACACGUUCCCAGAACCAGCCCACGGACAUCUGGCUUCACCUCCCAGUCACAGGAGGGUCCAGGAAGCCAGCGGAUCUCUACAGAACCGAAUGUCCUGAGCGCCUACGGGACAAGACCGGGAGCAAAAGGGAGAAGAGGCUGUAUGUUCCGGCUUCAGGUUCAGAUUUCCCCGCACCCCCAUACGUGGAGCACUACCCUGCGUUAUCAAGGAGACGGUAACCGCAGAAACGGCCUACCCAUCCCCUGCCAGGCUCAGGUAAAAAUUA